rnacentral:lncRNA from 1 species
GGGGAAGUAAGUCAAGUUUAAAAUUUAAAAUACGCAAAUAAUUUAUGACCAAAGGCAGAAGUAAUAGAGUUAAUUAACAAAUGUCUGCUUGUCCCUCAAAAGUCUCAUAAGUCUGCGAUCAUUAAGUUAUGAUCUCUUAAUCAAUUAAACACAAGAAUCAUGUACAUGGAUUAAAUCCAAUCAUCAAGGUUAACCUCAAAAGGUAAAUCGAUCACGUGGUGUAAACAAUCUUUGUUGUCAGAACUGGAUUGAACUGGUUUGAACUGGUCAAUUUUCAUCUGAAAUUUAAUAUCCCACGGAAAGGUUUAUGAUUUUUUUUACCGAAGAUUUUAGCACCACGGUGAAAAGUUAUACAUCGCGGCAAGAACGAUACCACCACGGUAGAAAAUUAUACAUCGCGGGCCCGCGGUCCUUUAAGGGCCUGGGGAGAACACUG